rnacentral:rRNA from 1 species
CUCAGGACGAACGCUGGCGGCGUGCCUAAUACAUGCAAGUCGAACGCUUCUUUUUCCACCGGAGCUUGCUCCACCGGAAAAAGAGGAGUGGCGAACGGGUGAGUAACACGUGGGUAACCUGCCCAUCAGAAGGGGAUAACACUUGGAAACAGGUGCUAAUACCGUAUAACAAUCAAAACCGCAUGGUUUUGAUUUGAAAGGCGCUUUCGGGUGUCGCUGAUGGAUGGACCCGCGGUGCAUUAGCUAGUUGGUGAGGUAACGGCUCACCAAGGCCACGAUGCAUAGCCGACCUGAGAGGGUGAUCGGCCACAUUGGGACUGAGACACGGCCCAAACUCCUACGGGAGGCAGCAGUAGGGAAUCUUCGGCAAUGGACGAAAGUCUGACCGAGCAACGCCGCGUGAGUGAAGAAGGUUUUCGGAUCGUAAAACUCUGUUGUUAGNGAAGAACAAGGAUGAGAGUAACUGUUCAUCCCUUGACGGUAUCUAACCAGAAAGCCACGGCUAACUACGUGCCAGCAGCCGCGGUAAUACGUAGGUGGCAAGCGUUGUCCGGAUUUAUUGGGCGUAAAGCGAGCGCAGGCGGUUUCUUAAGUCUGAUGUGAAAGCCCCCGGCUCAACCGGGGAGGGUCAUUGGAAACUGGGAGACU